rnacentral:hammerhead_ribozyme from 1 species
GUCCAUCUGACGAGUCCCAAAUAGGACUAAACGCGCGUCCUGGAU